rnacentral:rRNA from 1 species
AUCGAACGCUGGCGGCAGGCCUAACACAUGCAAGUCGAGCGAGUGGCGGACGGGUGAGUAAUGCAUGGGGACUGCCCGAUAGAGGGGGAAAACCACUGGAAACGGUAGCUAAUACCGCAUACUAUCGGAUAACCCAUAUGGGAUUAACUAGUUGGUGAGGUAAUGGCUCACCACGGCGACGAUCCCUAGCUGGUCUUAGAGGAUGAUCAGCCACACUGGGACUGGGAAACGGCCCAGACUCCUACGGAGGCAGCAGUGGGGAAUAUUGCACAAUGGGCGCAAGCCUGAUGCAGCCAUGCCGCGUGUAGGAAGAAGGCCCUAGGGUUUUAAAGUGCUUUCAGUCGGGAGGCGUUACCGACAGAAGAAGCGCCGGCUAACUCCGUGCCAGCAGCCGCGGUAAUUC